GCGUUAGUUAAUGAACGUUUGAUGAAGAGGGCUUGUGGCAGGUUCAUUCGUCUGUAUAUGCAGAUUUGGAUGGUACUUAAUGUGGAAAGUAUGAAUGGUCAGCAGAAUGUUGUUCUCAAUCACCUUGAUUUCGCCAUACAAAGCCUAAAGGUUAACGUGAGUCCUGCAUCAACCAUGGCAAUUUCAUUCAAGUUGAAAGAUGGGAACAUCAU